rnacentral:rRNA from 1 species
UACGGAGGGUGCAAGCGUUAUCCGGAUUCACUGGGUUUAAAGGGUGCGUAGGCGGGCGUAUAAGUCAGUGGUGAAAUCCUGGAGCUUAACUCCAGAACUGCCAUUGAUACUAUAUGUCUUGAAUAUGGUGGAGGUAAGCGGAAUAUGUCAUGUAGCGGUGAAAUGCAUAGAUAUGACAUAGAACACCUAUUGCGAAGGCAGCUUACUACGCCUAUAUUGACGCUGAGGCACGAAAGCGUGGGGAUCAAACAGG